rnacentral:tRNA from 1 species
AAGGCCUUAGCUUAAUUAAAGUGACUGGGUUGCAGUCAGUAGAUGUACUUUAGAGUUGUACAGGUCUUG